ensembl:lncRNA
CUCAGAGAAGGUGGCUGACCCCAACCAUCCCAGGGUAAUACACACAGAUGGUGUCUCCUGCUCUGCCGCCUCCUUGUAAUCACCAAAUAAUGCUGCCAGUUGAGCAGCCUUGCUCCAUGACACUCUUCCACCAUGAUGUCUUUGCCUUGGAGCCAGCUGAUCAUGGACUGAAUCCUCUGAAACCAUGAGUUAAGUUAAAACUCUCCUCCUUUAGAUGUGUAGAGUAUUGUGUCUCAGAAACUGGAAAGCUGACUAGUACAUCCUUUGCCCCUUGAGUAUGAACCAGACUUGAAAACUCGG